rnacentral:rRNA from 1 species
UACGUAGGGGACGAGCGUUGUCCGGAAUUAUUGGGCGUAAAGAGCGUGUAGGCGGCUCUGCAAGUCCUGCGUGAAAUCUCGAGGCUCAACCUCGAGCGGUCGUGGGAAACUGGAGGGCUAGAGUGCGGCAGAGGGGGAUGGAAUUCCGCGUGUAGCAGUGAAAUGCGUAGAUAUGCGGAGGAACACCGAUGGCGAAGGCAAUCCCCUGGGCCUGCACUGACGCUCAUGCACGAAAGCGUGGGGAGCAAACAGG